UUGGUUAUUGAUAUAGUCAAUUAUGCUAAUAGUUUUCCUAAUAUUGAACCAGCCCUGCAUUACUGGUAUAAAUCUUACUUAGUCAUGGUGUUUUAUCCUGGGGAUAAUUUUCUGUAAUCUCUUUCUGUUGAAAGCCGAAGGUCCCCGCCCAGGUGCCUUUCUCAUGACCCCAGCCCAGAUGCCUUUUCCCCACCCCUUGCUGCAACAGAAUCGCGCAGGUGGUCAAACAAUUUUGAGAACUGCAACCGGGCAAAACGGUCUUGAGAAUCAAUCUUGAGUUGUCACCACACUAUGUUCCUGCUCACUGGACCAGCUAUAGCCCAUGUUCUUUUCCCAGACCCUACCCUACUUCUCUUUCCCAUGCUUUUGCUAUAUAAGUUGUACCCUGAGAGCAAUAAACUGAGACCUUGGCAACAAUCAGCUUGGUCUCCCUCCUCUUUCUCGCCCGUUUCUCUUUCAGGCUGGAUCCUCCUCGAUGCCCCCAUGAGUAACUAAAGUCCCGCCAGUCGGGACAGGUGGCGCCCAACGUGGGGCUCGAGGCAUGGACCCUUGCCAGACAGACCCCGGAGAAGUCGUCGCGACCCCUGCUGUUUGAAGUUUCGGCCACUGAGAGGGACUCAGUAGAGAGCUGGACAAAUUGCCAACACUUCCUAAUGGCGGUUUGGCUGGCUCUCUGAGGAGCCCCCUUCCCGGCCCCCUCGCUGCUCACGAAGAGCCCCAGUCCUCGGAAUCUACAAGAUGAACACCCUCACCUUCGGAAUUCUCCUCUGCUGGACCACUGUCUGGAAUCCCUCCGAUGCCCGCCCUACCGCCUAUUCCCCCUACUCCCUCCUAUGGUGGAAUGUUUCGCCCUACCCUUCAUAAGGGCCCCCCUUCUCCUGCCAAGCUCAUUCUUUCCUUGAUUAAUACCUCUGUCCAAGCUGUUCGCAAGCUCAACAAUACCCUCGUGGAAGAUUGCUGGGUUUGUUAUUCUUCCUCCCCCCCUUUUUAUGAAGGCAUUGCCCAUUUUGGAAACCCUGUGUUUACCAAUGACCCUUCCCCCUUAUGUUGGGGAAGUGAUAAUAAGCAUGGCCUCACCCUCAGUAAAAUUACUGGCCUAGGACUAUGCCUUUUAGGACCCAACAUGCUGCCUCCUUUACAGCUAAGGGAGGUAUGUGACCAAACCAUUACAAUUACUCCAGCCUUCACGUAUGUGGCUGCCCCUAAUGAUUCAUACCUCGCUUGCUCCUCCGGCCUGACCACAUUUGUUGUUACAACCCACUUUGUCAACAAAAAGGAUUACUGUGUGGUGGUCUCCCUCUUCCCCCACCUUACAAUCCAUGAUCCGGAUGACUUUUUAAGAUUCUGGGAACGGAGAACAAAGGAAGAAUGUUGUUUUUAUACUGAUAAGCUUGGCCUUGUAGAAAAUAGUAUACAAAAAAUCAAAGAAAGCUUAGAAAAAAGAAAAGAGGGAACAACAAGAAUCUUGGUAUCAGAAGUGGUUUUCUACAUCCCCCUGGCUUUCCACCCUCCUCCCUAGUCUUCUAGGACCCCUCGUAGGCAUAGUGCUAUUGCUUUCUUUUGGUCCAUGGGCUUUUAACAAACUAACCAGCUUUGUUAAGUUACAGGUCAACUCGGCCCUGCAAAAACCUAUUGCAAUCCAUUACCACAGUCUUGACACUCAUGGAUCUCAUGAGGAUCCCCCAUCCUCCACUGUUGCCCUGAGGGCCUCCGAUUUUCUACCUUGGCCAUCAAAAUUGAGUCCCCGUGGUAUUUAAGGGUGUGGAGGCGCCUCCGGGAGACACAAUCUCAUUCAUAAUUUUCGGGCUAUUGCUGUGGAAGAGCCAAUGAUGGGAAUAUUGUGGCCCCAUGAUCCAGGAACAUCAUACCUUACGCUGCAGGGAUACCCAAUGACGGGAUUAUUGUGGAUCCGUUCUCCAGAUGCACGCCCCUGCGGGUCUUUGCUGGGGUGCUGGGACGGAUGCCGCCCACAUAGCCUAAGACAGGGGACCUGCCUUUUCCUGGCCCUGAGGGCCUGGUUAUUUAGGUACUGGAUAUGGAUACAGGCCACAUAGCCUAAGACAGGCCUUCCACCAGCCCUUGAUAAAAGUUUUUCUUCUCUUUCUUUCUUUUCUCCUUUUGCCUUUGAAAGAAAAAAGGGGGACAUGUUGGAAGCCGAAGGCCCCCGCCCAGGUGCCUUUCUCAUGACCCCAGCCCAGGUGCCUUUUCCCCACCCCUUGCUGCAACAGAAUCACGCAGGUGGUCAAACAAUUCUGAGAACUGCAACCGGGCAAAACAGUCUUGAGAAUCAGUCUUGAGUUGUCACCACACUAUGUUCCUGCUCACUGGACCAGCUAUAGCCCAUGUUCUUUUCCCAGACCCUACCCUACUUCUCUUUCCCAUGCUUUUGCUAUAUAAGUUGUAUCCUGAGAGCAAUAAACUGAGACCUUGGCAACAAUCA